rnacentral:rRNA from 1 species
UACAGGGGGGGCAAGCGUUGUUCGGAAUUACUGGGCGUAAAGGGCGCGUAGGCGGCCAUCUAAGUCAGACGUGAAAUCCUCCGGCUUAACCUGGGAACUGCGUCUGAUACUGGAAGGCUUGAGUAUGGGAGAGGGAUGUAGAGUUCCAGGUGUAGCGGUGAAAUGCGUAGAUAUCUGGAGGAAUACCGGUGGCGAAGGCGGCAUCCUGGACCAUUACUGACGCUGAGGCGCGAAAGCUAGGGGAGCAAACGGG